UCAACCAUCCUGGUAAAAGUGACAGGUAUUGCUAAUUUCUUCCCAUUCCUAAUUUGGCAGGCUCUACAACUACGAUGGAAGCUGAAGAAGCUUCAGGAAGUGGCACACCAUUAUCUACUACCAUGGUAAUAGCACAUACCACCAUAUCCACUGUAAUUUUUACAAGUGACCAGGAUCUGCAGGCUGCCACCAUGCUGACAGAAACAGAGACUUUUGAAAGCGAAAGUAAUUCCACAACGGAAAGAAACGAUGUAGAACAAGAAAGUCUACAUCCUGCUCUGAUUUUUGGAGCCCCUGCAGCAUUGCUGCUAGUCAUGUUGAUUUUGUUGGUCAUCUUUAUUGUAAGACGCCACAAGCAGAAGCAAUCCCAACAAGAUGAACUAGAGAGUGAAAACUGCAAAAGGUAAGACAUUUACAGAUUGCUCAUCAUUCUUCAGUACUACAUUCUUU
rnacentral:lncRNA from 11 species